CCACGGCUCCCAGCUCCCAGGGAGAAGGCUGAACUCUUCAGCAAGCGUGCCAGCCGCCCCCCUCCACCCUGCCAUCUCGGCCUUUGCGUGGCCCCCGCUGCUCUGGCCGCCCCCUGCCAGUUCUGUCUCGGGGUGGGGGGUGGGCGCGGGCUGAUUGUUCCCUCAGCAGGAAGACGCCCUCCCCACCUGCUCAGCCUCAGCCCCUCGCUUCCUCUUCCGGGUGUGUGUUCUGUGUUGGGGGGGUGCAGCAUGUUACUGACCCCCUGGCCACUGCCCCUUCCACGCUGUGCCCCCAGGUCUCCCCUGCCAGGGCCCCCGCCGCCCGUGCUGAGUGGUGCACAGCCAGAGUCCUGCCGACCUGGAGCCUGGCACCUGGGCAGAAGUUAAGUAGAGACUGAGGGGGAGAAAACCCCUCAUCUUCACGCGGUCAUGCUCAUGCCCUCACUCGCGAACGGGGACGAGAAAUCCGAGGACGGGUGCCCGAGAGAAGAGCCUGCACGGCAGGAAACUGACUGCGGGGCCCCCAGCCCCAAGCCUGCGCUGUGCCCAGAAGCCCAGGAGCCUCGGCGACUGCACCCCUGAGGGUCG
ensembl:lncRNA